rnacentral:rRNA from 1 species
GAUGAACGCUGGCGGCGUGCCUAAUACAUGCAAGUCGAGCGAACAGACGAGGAGCUUGCUCCUCUGACGUUAGCCGCGGACGGGUGAGUAACACGUGGAUAACCUACCUAUAAGACUGGUAUAACUUCGGGAAACCGGAGCUAAUACCGUAUAAUAUAUUGAACCGCAUGGUUCAAUAGUGAAAGACGGUUUUGCUGUCACUUAUAGAUGGAUCCGCGCCGCAUGAGCUAGUUGGUAAGGUAACGGCUUACCAAGGCAACGAUGCGUAGCCGACCUGAGAGGGGGAUAGGCCACACUGGAACUGAGACACGGUCAAGACUCCUACGGGAGGCAGCAGUAGGGAAUCUUCCGCAAUGGGCGAAAGCCUGACGGAGCAACGCCGCGUGAGUGAUGAAGGUCUUCGGAUCGUAAAACUCUGUUAUUAGGGAAGAACAAAUGUGUAAGUAACUAUGCACGUCUUGACGGUACCUAAUCAGAAAGCAACGGCUAACUACGUG